rnacentral:rRNA from 1 species
CUUGGUCAUUUAGAGGAAGUAAAAGUCGUAACAAGGUUUCCGUAGGUGAACCUGCGGAAGGAUCAUUAAUGAACUUGUGGUUGUUGCUGGCUAGUGUCUCUAGCAUGUGCACACGCACCUUCAUCCCAUUUACACCUGUGCACCUUUUGUAGUAGGGUUCUGAAAGUGAGGGGGGUUUACCUUCUCUCUGGAUUUCCUACUACGUUUUUUAUACACACACAAUUAAGUCAUUGAAUGUUAUUUGAUUUUAUAUUGAAAAAACAACUUUCAACAACGGAUCUCUUGGCUCUCGCAUCGAUGAAGAACGUAGCGAAUUACGAUAUGUAAUGUGAAUUGCAGAAUUCAGUGAAUCAUCGAAUCUUUGAACGCAUCUUGCGCUCUCUGGUAUUCCGGAGAGCAUGCCUGUUUGAGUGUCAUGAAUCUCUCAAAUACAAAACUUGAUUGUUUUUUGUGUUUGGACUUGGAAGCUGUCGGCGCAAGUCGACUCUUCUUAAAUUCAUUAGCUGGGGUUUAUAUAGUGGAUCCUUGGUGUGAUAAUUAUCUACGCCUUGAAGUCCCUGUAGACCUUGCUUCAAACCGUCUUUACUACGAGACAAUUUUGAAUCAUCUGGCCUCAAAUCAGGUAGGACUACCCGCUGAACUUAAGCAUAUCAAUAAGCGGAGGAAAAGAAACUAACAAGGAUUCCCCUAGUAACUGCGAGUGAAGAGGGAAAAGCUCAAAUUUAAAAUCUGGUACCCUUAGGGUGCUCGAGUUGUAAUUUGGAGAGGCGUUUUCUGUGCUGGACUGUGUAAAAGUUUCUUGGAAUAGAACAUCAUAGAGGGUGAGAAUCCCGUCUUUGACACAGACUACCAGUGCUCUGUGAUACGCUUUCAAAGAGUCGCGUUGUUUGGGAAUGCAGCGCUAAAUGGGUGGUAAAUUCCAUCUAAAGCUAAAUAUUGGCGAGAGACCGAUAGCGAACAAGUACCGUGAGGGAAAGAUGAAAAGCACUUUGGAAAGAGAGUUAAACAGUACGUGAAAUUGUUGAAAGGGAAACGCUUGAAGU